rnacentral:rRNA from 1 species
UACAUGGGGUGCAAACGUUGCUCGGAAUUAUUGGGCGUAAAGGGCGCGUAGGCGGCCUCUGCAAGUCGACUGUGAAAUCUCCGGGCUUAACCCGGAAAGGUCAGCCGAUACUGCAGGGCUAGAGUGCAGAAGGGGCAACUGGAAUUCUCGGUGUAGCGGUGAAAUGCGUAGAUAUCUGGAGGAACACCGGUGGCGAAGGCGGCAUCCUGGACCGGUAUUGACGCUGAGGCGCGAAAGCCAGGGGAGCAAACGGG